rnacentral:rRNA from 1 species
GACGAACGCUGGCGGCGUGCCUAAUACAUGCAAGUUGAGCGCUGAAGGUUGGUACUUGUACCAACUGGAUGAGCAGCGAACGGGUGAGUAACGCGUGGGGAAUCUGCCUUUGAGCGGGGGACAACAUUUGGAAACGAAUGCUAAUGCCGCAUAAAAACUUUAAACACAAGUUUUAAGUUUGAAAGAUGCAAUUGCAUCACUCAAAGAUGAUCCCGCGUUGUAUUAGCUAGUUGGUGAGGUAAAGGCUCACCAAGGCGGUGAUACAUAGCCGACCUGAGAGGGUGAUCGGCCACAUUGGGACUGAGACACGGCCCAAACUCCUACGGGAGGCAGCAGUAGGGAAUCUUCGGCAAUGGACGAAAGUCUGACCGAGCAACGCCGAGUGAGUGAAGAAGGUUUUGGGAUCGUAAAACUCUGUUGGUAGAGAAGAACGUUGGUGAGAGUGGAAAGCUCAUCAAGUGACGGUAACUACCCAGAAAGGGACGGCUAACUACGUG